ACACAAUGAGGACACUGCCUUUGUAAAUCCUUGAACCUCUCUCAAGUCUCAUAUAAAGACUCAUCAUCCCCUUGGCAAAAAGUUGUGAUUUCAUAUCUUAGUCU